rnacentral:rRNA from 1 species
UACGUAGGGAGCAAGCGUUGUUCGGAUUUACUGGGCGUAAAGCGCGCGUAGGCGGCUUUUCAAGUCGAUUGUGAAAUCCCCGGGCUUAACCUGGGAACUGCAGUCGAGACUGUCUAGCUAGAGUAUGGGAGAGGGAAGUGGAAUUUCAGGUGUAGCGGUGAAAUGCGUAGAUAUCUGAAGGAACAUCAGUGGCGAAAGCGACUUCCUGGACCAAUACUGACGCUCAUGUGCGAAAGCGUGGGGAGCAAACAGGG